rnacentral:rRNA from 1 species
CAGAGAUGGUUUGGUGCCUUCGGGAACUCUGAGACAGGUGCUGCAUGGCUGUCGUCAGCUCGUGUUGUGAAAUGUUGGGUUAAGUCCCGCAACGAGCGCAACCCUUAUCCUUUGUUGCCAGCGGUCCGGCCGGGAACUCAAAGGAGACUGCCAGUGAUAAACUGGAGGAAGGUGGGGAUGACGUCAAGUCAUCAUGGCCCUUACGAGUAGGGCUACACACGUGCUACAAUGGCGCAUACAAAGAGAAGCGACCUCGCGAGAGCAAGCGGACCUCAUAAAGUGCGUCGUAGUCCGGAUUGGAGUCUGCAACUCGACUCCAUGAAGUCGGAAUCGCUAGUAAUCGUAGAUCAGAAUGCUACGGUGAAUACGUUCCCGGGCCUUGUACACACCGCCCGUCACACCAUGGGAGUGGGUUGCAAAAGAAGUAGGUAGCUUAACCUUCGGGAGGGCG